UGAGGGAAUAUUUGGGGUCAAUGGGCGGGAGCCUGAACCAGCCAAGUCGCGUGAGGGACGAAGGCCCUACGGGUUGUAAACCUCUUUUAUAAGGGAAUAAAGGACAUCACGUGUGGUGUUUUGCAUGUACCUUAUGAAUAAGCAUCGGCUAACUCCGUGCCAGCAGCCGCGGUAAUACGGAGGAUGCGAGCGUUAUCCGGAUUCAUUGGGUUUAAAGGGUGCGUAGGUGGCUUGUUAAGUCAGCGGUGAAAGUCAGUGGCUCAACCAUUGAAUUGCCGUUGAAACUGGCGAGCUUGAGUACGUACGGGGCAGGCGGAAUGCGUGGUGUAGCGGUGAAAUGCAUAGAUAUCACGCAGAACCCCGAUCGCGAAGGCAGCCUGCCAGGCCGUGACUGACACUGAUGCACGAAAGCGUGGGGGAGCAAACA
rnacentral:rRNA from 1 species